AUGUUGAUGAUGACAGAGCCAUGUGAUGGAGGCGCUUGUUUCUUGGAAUCGGGAAGACAGCUAUGGCUGAUCAACAUCACCCAUUUUGGCUUUCACAUGAUGUUCAUAGGAGAAAAGCACUCGAGGGGCCACACCAAAGGACUGGAGGCUCAACUUCAGCAGAGAGGAGACGAAGCCACAGACGAUGUCCAAAAAGGUCCUAAUUGUGAAUGGUUUACUGGAAACCCUGUGGUCAGGUCAGAUCUUUUUUGUGAGAAGAAAAUUACAAGACUGAGCAGAUUCAAGAGUGAAACUCAUCUCUGUUGAUGUGUGUUGGCCCAAGUAGGACACACAUGCAAACACACCGCCUUUUUACUAACAGAUAAAUGUUUCAGAUGCAAAAUAAACAUCUGAAAGAUUUCUCACUGUUUUUCUUAGGUAGGAUAGGAAGUGGCCUGCUCGUACAAAAUAGUGUAUUCCAGUUGUAAUCUAGCACAUCUUAUUACUAUUGUUGCUAUUUACAAUGUUCAGACAUUAAUGUUCCAGAUACCAUGUGAAUUACCUGACUGUGAUUUUAUUUGAAAGGAGCUAUACAGUAGAAACUUUUGCUCCCAUUUUAAUGUUGAGAAAAGUCAAGUUCAUAAAGUUUAGGAGAUUAACCUCAAAUCAAACAGCUAGUAAAUAACCAAUCCAGGAGGCCAACUAAAGCUGCCUGACUUUUUUUUUUUUUUAAAUUAUAGUUGAUUUACAGUGGUAUGCCAGUUUCUGCUGUACAUCAAAGAGAUUCAGCCAUACAUCAAUAUACAUUAUUUUUCAAUAUACAUUAUUUUUCUCAUGUUAUCAUCCAUCAUGGUCCAUCCCUGUGCAAUGCAGUAGGACCUCAUUAAAGCAGCCUGACUUUAUUUAUUUUUUAAAUUUAUUUUUAAUUCCUACACCACAGCUUAAGGCAAAGCUAGAUCCUUAAUCCACUGAGCGAGGCCAGGGAUCAAACCCACAUCCUCACAGAACCAAGUCAGGUCCUUCACCUGCUGAGCCACAACAGGAACUCCUCAAGCUCGCUGACUUUAAACCUCAAGUUCUAAGAUUAUCUCAUGUUGCUGCCUCUCCCGUGUGAAAAGGGCACAAGCUAUAUUGGAUGAAUAAAUGAAUCAACUUAUCUUACAGAUGGAUCUUAAUAAAUGUUAAUUGACUGGGAAACCUCAGCUCCUUCUAAUUCUCUCACCAAAUUUGAUUCUCCGCACCAAAUGAGAUAGUAAAUUACAUGUAAUGAACUUGCUGGCUAAACUACACUUCCAAGUUUUUGAGAUCAGCUGAGGUUUCUUGAGGAUAGCCAUGAGGCCGAGGGAAAAAUCAUUGUAGGCAAUAUAUUCUCAAUACUAUUUCCUCCUCGAGUUAUCAUCAUGGCAUCAGGCCAGGGAGCCAUCCUUGCCAGACAUUGCUGUCCAACCCUAGGUUGAAACCCAAACACCAGGAUUUGGUCCAGCACUGCGCUGCUCACAGUGUCUUCACUCUGACUGUAUCUCUGGACCCAUUUACUUAACUUGAAAAUGAAAUGAUUGGUUCAAAAUUGGCAGAAUGGGGGUUUUCAGAAAUGCUUUGCCUUCCCUUGACUCUCAAUUAAAAAAAACCCAAAGAAACAAAAGAAUGUAAGUAAAGACUUCAGUGAAGCUAAGAAAUUGCAAGAGGUCAGCCUUACGACUGCCAAACAUGGUGAUGUCUGGGCUAAGGAGAGGAAGGAAGUUUAUACCUUGACCUUGAACAGAAUGGCAGUUACAGAAGAGCAACUGCCAGUAUUUCAAAAGGCCCAUUCCAUGAGCUUUUAAAUGAGUCACAGAAGUCGGGUCAUGGAAAAGCUAAGGAGAGGUGAGACAUGUCCCUCUGGAGACUCAGUUCUAACCUGCAGAACAGGAUAAAAGGGAAGAUUAGUUAGCAAGUCAUUUCUAUUGUUCGUGGUCCUCCUGGCUAACUGAGGCAGAUGAUGCAUUUUUUAUUUUCUCAAUGCCUACCGUAAUGCCUUGCUCAUUGUAGGUUUAAUGAUCCAGAGGAAGAGAAGGCUUAAGUAUGUGGACUGUGCUGAUGGACCCACAAGAACACUUUUAAGUUUUUGCUGAGUUUGAACCUCUGGCUUCAACUUAAGAGCUUUGAGUGCCUUUCUAGGAAGCAUCAUCAGGGAUAUGAAAUGUGAGGUGUGGUCACUCCUUAAUUCUAGCAUCCAGAACCUGAGAGGAUGUUUGAGGUGGCUGAUCUCCUACCCAACCCCCGACUAUAUCUGUAGGCCUUUUUUCUUCCCUCCCUGCUUUUUUUUUUUUUUUUUUUAGGGCCGCACCCAUGGCAUAUGGAGAUUCCAAGGCUAGAGGUUGAAUUGGAGCU
rnacentral:lncRNA from 9 species